UAAUACGUAGGAUGCGAGCGUUGUCCGGAAUUAUUGGGCGUAAAGGGUGCGUAGGCGGUGUCUUACGUGUGCUGUGAAAGCCCCUGGCUUACCUGGGGGAGCGCGGUGCAAACGGGGAGACUGGAGUGCAGGAGGGGGAAGCGGAAUGCCCGGAGUAACGGUGAAAUGUGUUGAGAUCGGGCAGAACACCGGUGGCGAAGGCGGCUUCCUGGUCUGUAACUGACGCUGAGGCACGAAAGCCAGGGGAGCGAACGGA
rnacentral:rRNA from 1 species